GAGUUCAUAUCAGCACUACUGCACUAGAUCCCAAUAAAACUCUGCAGUUAACCAUGCUUGGGCGAGGGUAGUACUAGGAUGGGUGACCCCCUAGGAAGUCCUUGUGUUGCACCUU